GACUGUCACGUGCCACCGCUGCCCUGUCUGCAGGCAGGUGAGCGCCGCCCCUGGGCACCCCUGGCCAGCUCUGCGGGGCAGCGGGGGCGGGGGGCACUCCUGCCCUCCUCCCAGUGCCCCUGACCCUCGAAGCCAGGAACCCUCCGUCUACUUCAGUGCCCCGCUGACCACCGCCAGGACCCCGGAGGAAAGGCCACGUGAAUUCAGUCAGAUGUGGGCACCUGAACCGUGCCCACUCUUCCGGCGUCUGUGUGAAGGACACAGAGACAUUCCGUCCCACAGACAAAGGAGCGGCCUGGUGGGCCUCUUCACGGGAAGGUCAGACAUUCACGCGGUGAAGAGUAACUGUUUACCAGCCUGCUCCCGGCUCCUGGAGUCCGCUCCUCCCUUUGACCCCGCGCCCGCACCACCCCCCUUCGGAAAGGCAGGGGCUGUCUUCCUCUUACAGGGGGAGAAGCUGAGGCACGGAGGAAUGGCAGACCCCUCUGGGGCCCACACUCCCUGUGAUUCUGUGUAGCUGUGUGACCUUCACCCCAGGAGCAGGUGUGCCCACCUUGCCACAGCUGGAGCAGGUAACUCUGUCACGGGGGCCAGCUUCUGCCUGGUGGGAGACUUGGCAGCAUCCCUGGCUGUACCCGCCCGGUGCCGAUAGGAGCCCGCGCCCCUGGUGAACAUCCAGAAAGUCUCCAGCGUUAAAUCGCCCCGAACCAGCCCACAGGCCGGAGGGGGACAAGCAGAGGGAAGAAGCCAGGAGUGGCCGCUCAGCCUGGGGCCAUUUGGACGGAUGUGCAGAGAAGAAUCUGGGAGAGCGUGCGUGACCGUGGAGGCAGAGAUCGGAGGGCUGUGCCUGCCGACACCUUGACCGUGGACUUCGGGACACCAGCCUGGGGGGCGGCAAACCGCUGUGCUGGAGACCGGUCCUUCCUCUCUUUUUCCCCUCCCUCCCCACUCUGAAAAUGAGUGAAAUCAUUAAAAAAUAAAAUAAAUAAAUAAAUAAAUAAAGGUUAAGCCCUGGCUGGCAUAGCUCAGUGGACUGAGCGCG